GAUGAACGCUGGCGGCGUGCCUAAUACAUGCAAGUCGAACGAACAGGCGAGGCGCUUGCUGCUCUGACGUUAGCGGCAGGCGGGUGAAUCACACGUGUAUACCCUACCUAUCAGACUGGGAUCACUUCGGGAAACCGGCGAUAAUACCGGAUAAUAUAUUGCAGCGCAUGGUUGAAUAGUGAAAGUCGGUUUUGCUGUAUCUUCUAGAUGGAUCCGAGCCGCAUUAGCUAGUUGGGAAGGUAACGGCUUACGAAGGCUACGAUGCGUAAGCGACGGGAGAGGGGGAUCGGCCACCCGGGAGCUGGAACGGGGACCAGACUCCUACGAGAGGCAGCAGAAGGGAACCGGAGGCAAUGGGCGAAAGCCUGACGGAGCAGCGCGGAGUGAGAGAUGAAGGUCUUGGGAGCGUAAAAACCUGUUAUGAGGGAAGAACAAAUGUGGAAGGAACCGUGCACUGCUUGACGGUAAUUAAUCAGAAAGCCACGGCUAACUACGUG
rnacentral:rRNA from 1 species